GACGAACGCUGGCGGCGUGCUUAACACAUGCAAGUCGAGCGGUAAGGCCCUUUCGGGGGUACACGAGCGGCGAACGGGUGAGUAACACGUGGGUGACCUGCCCUCAGCUCUGGGAUAAGCCCGGGAAACUGGGUCUAAUACUGGAUAUGACUCCAUGACGCAUGUUGUGGGGUGGAAAGCCUUGUGCGGCUGAGGAUGGGCCCGCGGCCUAUCAGCUUGUUGGGGGGUGAUGGCCUACCAAGGCGACGACGGGUAGCCGGCCUGAGAGGGCGACCGGCCACACUGGGACUGAGACACGGCCCAGACUCCUACGGGAGGCAGCAGUGGGGAAUCUUGCGCAAUGGGCGAAAGCCUGACGCAGCGACGCCGCGUGAGGGAUGACGGCU
rnacentral:rRNA from 1 species